AUUGACUAAGGUUUCCAGAGGAAGGCUCGUCCGCUCUGGGUUAGUCGGGUCCUAAGCUGAGGCCGACAGGCGUAGGCGAUGGAUAACAGGUUGAUAUUCCUGUACCACCUAUAAUCGUUUUAAUCGAUGGGGGGACGCAGUAGGAUAGGCGAAGCGUGCGAUUGGAUUGCACGUCUAAGCAGUAAGGCUGAGUAUUAGGCAAAUCCGGUACUCGUUAAGGCUGAGCUGUGAUGGGGAGAAGACAUUGUGUCUUCGAGUCGUUGAUUUCACACUGCCGAGAAAAGCCUCUAGAUAGAAAAUAGGUGCCCGUACCGCAAACCGACACAGGUAGUCAAGAUGAGAAUUCUAAGGUGAGCGAGCGAACUCUCGUUAAGGAACUCGGCAAAAUGACCCCGUAACUUCGGGAGAAGGGGUGCUCUUUAGGGUUAACGCCCAGAAGAGCCGCAGUGAAUAGGCCCAAGCGACUGUUUAUCAAAAACACAGGUCUCUGCUAAACCGUAAGGUGAUGUAUAGGGGCUGACGCCUGCCCGGUGCUGGAAGGUUAAGAGGAGUGGUUAGCUUCUGCGAAGCUACGAAUCGAAGCCCCAGUAAACGGCGGCCGUAACUAUAACGGUCCUAAGGUAGCGAAAUUCCUUGUCGGGUAAGUUCCGACCCGCACGAAAGGCGUAACGAUUUGGGCACUGUCUCAACGAGAGACUCGGUGAAAUCAUAGUACCUGUGAAGAUGCAGGUUACCCGCGACAGGACGGAAAGACCCCGUGGAGCUUUACUGUAGCCUGAUAUUGAAAUUCGGCACAGCUUGUACAGGAUAGGUA
rnacentral:rRNA from 1 species